UGAGGAAUAUUGGUCAAUGGACGCAAGUCUGAACCAGCCAAGUAGCGUGCAGGAUGACGGCCCUAUGGGUUGUAAACUGCUUUUAUAUGGGGAUAAAGUGGGGAACGUGUUCCCUUUUGCAGGUACCAUAUGAAUAAGGACCGGCUAAUUCCGUGCCAGCAGCCGCGGUAAUACGGAAGGUUCGGGCGUUAUCCGGAUUUAUUGGGUUUAAAGGGAGCGUAGGCUGUUUGUUAAGCGUGUUGUGAAAUGUAAGAGCUCAACUUUUAGAUUGCAGCGCGAACUGGCAGACUUGAGUGCGCACAACGUAGGCGGAAUUCAUGGUGUAGCGGUGAAAUGCUUAGAUAUCAUGACGAACUCCGAUUGCGAAGGCAGCUUACGGGGGCGCAACUGACGCUAAAGCUCGAAGGUGCGGGUAUCGAACAGG
rnacentral:rRNA from 1 species